rnacentral:sRNA from 1 species
UCCUUUUGUCUUACGUUUUUUUUCUAUACCAAACACCAGCCAUCUCUGGUAGCUUUCCCUUAUGUAUACAUUCCUCUCUGCAAGUGACACCUUCCUGCUUUCUGUGUCAUUGCUGUCAAUUCAUACUCCAUGUUCAAAAUGCACCUCAGUCAUUAUUUCCUAUGAGAUGUGUUCCUUAAACAUCCUUCAAGUACAAAUUUCAUAGAUAUUUAAAUUAUUAAAACAUAGUUGUGCAUCUAUUGAUAUAUCUCCUUUACUUCCUAAACUUACUUCUCUUUGUAUCACCAACACCUAACUUUGUAUUUUAGAAUACGUUCAAUAGAACAUUUCCUUCUUUUGUCUUCUGUUUCAGCAAGGGAGUGAAAGCACGAUUUGUUGUGACUGAUGGUGGGAUUACCAGAGUUUAUCCCAAAGAUUGUUGGAAUUAAAAUUGAUGUAAAUUCCUGGAUAGAGAAUUUCACCAAAACCUCAAUCAGAGAUCCGUGUGCUGGUCCAGUUUGUGACUGCAAAAGAAACAGUGAUGUAA